rnacentral:lncRNA from 1 species
CUUACACAAAAACAAUUGGCCCUUUGACCCGGUCGAAAGGCUCUCAAAUGGAAAUCAGCCAAGAAGCAGCCGAUCAACGAAGCGAAGAAGAAGCCCUCCUCAUUCAGAAACAACGAAGAAGAAGGAGAACGAGAUUAAUUGUGAAAAUUUUAUUUUGGUUUCAACUCACUUGGUAAGUACUUCAUUGUCAAAAAUAUGUAAGAAUAAAUACUUUUUUUUUUUUUCUAAUGGUUUUGGUAUGCCUCAAGUUUCUUAUAGAUUUGAUUCAGGCAUUUUCUUCCGAAAAGAAUACCCUGUUGUGGUUGCAAAGGACACAUAGUUUUUCCAACUGCUGAUUUUGGUAUGUGGCCCCUUUAUCUUAUACUUGCAUAUAGCUUCUUUAUGUACUGCCCGUUUGUUUAGGAGAUGCGAAGUGUUAUUCUUUUUUGCUAAAUGUGAUCUUUGUAAUUUGUAUGAUUGAUGUUGUUGUUGACAAUUGUAGGAAGCUGGAUGUGUUAUUUUUUAUGAUUGAAGGUGCUGUUGUUGUGUUUUUUUGACCUGUUAGGAAUGGUCUCUUGUUUUACUUUCACAAAAUGUUACUCUGGUUCUUUGUAUCAUUUUUUUAUACUUGGGAUAACAUACAAGCUCAUAUAAUGCUAAAUUCAAUUGAAAAUUCAGCAUGGUACAAUGAUGCCAUUAAUGGAACCAUGUCUGGCUGUAAUGCUAAUGCACAUGUUAUAACUAACAAUUGAGUGCUUAGAAGGAUUCUGUGUUUAUUAUCCUUUCUAAAAUGUAUACUAUUGGUCAUGUUGUUAAGAUCAAAGUUGAUUGUGUUUAGGAUUUGACAAGUCUGGAAAAUUAUUCAGUAAUUAGUAUUUAUCAUAAAGUUUGAGACCAAACGGCUUUUAUAUCAUUUAGACAAAGUGAUAUUUAUAUGCUAAUAGAGGAGCCUAUCUAGGCCAUUAAUAUAACAUCUACCAUGUAGUAGUUGGGUUUCGUGGUUAGUGGAACCAAACUAGGCCACUGGGUUUUGUAACAUCUACCUUUGUAGUUGGGUUUUGUGGAGAUGACUCAAGCAACCAAGAAUAAGAUUUGUCUAUUGUCAUUUUGAGGAACAAGGAUUGCUGUUGCUGCCUUUUUUUUUUUUCCUGUUUUUUAUUACCUUUGAAAAAUGGAUUUAUGUUUUCAAAUGUUGAAAAAUGGAAUGAUGUUAAAAACCAAUUUCUUAAUUUAAUUGUGAAUUUCUUUAUGUUUGGAGGAUACCAUUUGUUUCUACCAAGUCCAGCUGGUACAGAGUUGCAAAUUGGAGGCAUCAGUUUGUUCUAGGUAAUAGAAUUAUGGUAAAAAAUCAACAUGGCUCUAGAAAUGUGAGAAGCCCGAUUAUGCCAUUUUUUUGCUUCUUGAAAAAGUGAUCUAAAGUCAAAUCAUCAACCAAAUUUUGUCCCUUUUUAUGAUCUUUCUGCAGGAUGGAGUACAUAUACGACAUCAAUGAUCGAUGUGAUGCGAAGGUCACGGCACAUUCUAAAGUGUCAAGUGUGGAGAAAGUAUAUGAUGCAUUUGAUGAUGUUCAUAAGGAGAUGUUCUUGAAUUCAUGCUUCGGUAAAUUAUACAUUAGAAAUAUGAAAAUAUCUGCCCAACUAAUUUGCAACUUGUUAUUACGACUAAUUGUCUCUGUGAACGAGGAUGAACUAUGAUUUUGUUUAAUAUUGGAAAAAGUUGUCCGUUUCCUUUUGUACGAGUUUACGUUCGUUACAGGGUUAAGUCUUAUUAAUGAGGAGGAGUAUCAGAGCUAAAUAAAUGAAAAUGGUAGAUUGAAAACUAAAUACUUCUCAAGAUCAAGUAAGGUUGCAUUUGUUGCGGGUUCAUUUGGUGGUUCGCGAGCUAUUCUGGACUAACAAUUUAAUAAUAAAUUGAACUUUGCUAUGUUUGAUUUACGUAAGAGAGGAGAUCGUUUUGUAAUUAUUUAAGGAAAAAGGUAUAUUUUUCCUAAAUGUCUAGAGUCGUUUAAAACACUUCCAGUCUUUUCCUAAAAGAAUGAAUUUAAGUCAUUUAAAAUGACUAUAGUCGUUUAAAAGGACCAUAGCCGUUUCUUAAAACGAUUAGGAAACAACUAUAGUCAUUUCGUAAUAACAACUAUAGUCUUUUUAAACGACUUUAAUCAUUUUUUCUAAAGAACUAGAGUUGUUUGAAAAGACUCUAGUUGUUUACAAUUUAUUUUAUUUAGAAAUGUAGACUAAUAUCAUUAUAUACAAUUUAUUGUACUCCUUAC